rnacentral:sRNA from 1 species
AGAGCAGGCUGACAGCAGAAUGACCAGGCACCAAGCUCUCCGUUCCACUAGCCUCUCUGGGCCAGGCCUGUGGAGUCUCCAGAGGAAACAGGCAGGUGAUCUUGAUCCUGACGAAGUACUACCACGCAGACAUGGGGAAGGUUCUGGAAAGUUCUCUGUGGCGGUCGUCAGAUUUCGGGACGUCCUACACCAAGCUCACCCUCCAGCCUGGUGUCACCACCGUCAUCGACAAUUUCUACAUCUGCCCGACCAACAAGAGGAAGGUCAUCCUUGUCAGCUCUUCACUCAGUGACCGGGACCAGAGCCUAUUUCUCAGCGCAGAUGAAGGCGCCACCUUUCAGAAGCACCCCAUUCCCUUCUUCGUGGAAACUCUGAUUUUCCACCCUAAGGAGGAGGACAAGGUCCUCGCCUACACAAAGGAGAGCAAGCUCUACGUGUCGUCUGACUUGGGGAAAAAGUGGACACUUCUGCAAGAGCGAGUGACCAAAGACCACGUGUUCUGGUCUGUGUCUGGGGUGGACGCUGACCCUGA